CGCUAGCUACAGGCUUAACACAUGCAAGUCGAGGGGCAGCAUGGUCUUAGCUUGCUAAGGCCGAUGGCGACCGGCGCACGGGUGAGUAACACGUAUCCAACCUGCCGUCUACUCUUGGACAGCCUUCUGAAAGGAAGAUUAAUACAAGAUGGCAUCAUGAGUCCGCAUGUUCACAUGAUUAAAGGUAUUCCGGUAGACGAUGGGGAUGCGUUCCAUUAGAUAGUAGGCGGGGUAACGGCCCACCUAGUCUUCGAUGGAUAGGGGUUCUGAGAGGAAGGUCCCCCACAUUGGAGCUGAGACACGGUCCAAACUCCUACGGGAGGCAGCAGUGAGGAAUAUUGGUCAAUGGGCGAGAGCCUGAACCAGCCAAGUAGCGUGAAGGAUGACUGCCCUAUGGGUUGUAAACUUCUUUUAUAAAGGAAUAAAGUCGGGUAUGGAUACCCGUUUGCAUGUACUUUAUGAAUAAGGAUCGGCUAACUCCGUGCCAGCAGCCGCGGUAAUACGGAGGAUCCGAGCGUUAUCCGGAUUUAUUGGGUUUAAAGGGAGCGUAGAUGGAUGUUUAAGUCAGUUGUGAAAGUUUGCGGCUCAACCGUAAAAUUGCAGUUGAUACUGGAUAUCUUGAGUGCAGUUGAGGCAGGCGGAAUUCGUGGUGUAGCGGUGAAAUGCUUAGAUAUCACGAAGAACUCCGAUUGCGAAGGCAGCCUGCUAAGCUGCAACUGACAUUGAGGCUCGAAAGUGUGGGUAUCAAACAGGAUUAGAUACCCUGGUAGUCCACACGGUAAACGAUGAAUACUCGCUGUUUGCGAUAUACUGCAAGCGGCCAAGCGAAAGCGUUAAGUAUUCCACCUGGGGAGUACGCCGGCAACGGUGAAACUCAAAGGAAUUGACGGGGGCCCGCACAAGCGGAGGAACAUGUGGUUUAAUUCGAUGAUACGCGAGGAACCUUACCCGGGCUUAAAUUGCAGAUGAAUUACGGUGAAAGCCGUAAGCCGCAAGGCAUCUGUGAAGGUGCUGCAUGGUUGUCGUCAGCUCGUGCCGUGAGGUGUCGGCUUAAGUGCCAUAACGAGCGCAACCCUUGUUGUCAGUUACUAACAGGUUCCGCUGAGGACUCUGACAAGACUGCCAUCGUAAGAUGUGAGGAAGGUGGGGAUGACGUCAAAUCAGCACGGCCCUUACGUCCGGGGCUACACACGUGUUACAAUGGGGGGUACAGAGGGCCGCUACCACGCGAGUGGAUGCCAAUCCCCAAAACCUCUCUCAGUUCGGACUGGAGUCUGCAACCCGACUCCACGAAGCUGGAUUCGCUAGUAAUCGCGCAUCAGCCACGGCGCGGUGAAUACGUUCCCGGGCCUUGUACACACCGCCCGUCAAGCCAUGGGAGCCGGGGGUACCUGAAGUGCGUAACCGCGAGGAGCGCCCUAGGGUAAAACUGGUGACUGGGGCUAAGUC
rnacentral:rRNA from 1 species